rnacentral:tRNA from 1 species
ACUUUUAUAAUUUAUAAUGAGAAUAUUGUACUGAAGAUACAAAAGAAAUUUUUUAGUUUGAAAGUA